GUAGGGAAUCUUCGGCAAUGGACGAAAGUCUGACCGAGCAACGCCGCGUGAGUGAAGAAGGUUUUCGGAUCGUAAAACUCUGUUGGUAGAGAAGAACGUUGGUGAGAGUGGAAAGCUCAUCAAGUGACGGUAACUACCCAGAAAGGGACGGCUAACUACGUGCCAGCAGCCGCGGUAAUACGUAGGUCCCGAGCGUUGUCCGGAUUUAUUGGGCGUAAAGCGAGCGCAGGUGGUUUAUUAAGUCUGGUGUAAAAGGCAGUGGCUCAACCAUUGUAUGCAUUGGAAACUGGUAGACUUGAGUGCAGGAGAGGAGAGUGGAAUUCCAUGUGUAGCGGUGGAAUGCGUAGAUAUAUGGAGGAACACCGGUGGCGAAAGCGGCUCUCUGGCCUGUAACUGACACUGAGGCUCGAAAGCGUGGGGAGCAAACAGGAUUAGAAACCCCAGUAGUCC
rnacentral:rRNA from 1 species